CAUGUCUAAGUAUAAGCAAUUAUACAGCGAAACUGCGAAUGGCUCAUUAAAUCAGUUAUCGUUUAUUUGAUAGUACCUUACUACAUGGAUAACCGUGGUAAUUCUAGAGCUAAUACAUGCUGAAAAUCCCGACUUCGGAAGGGAUGUAUUUAUUAGAUUAAAAACCAAUGCCCUUCGGGGCUCUCUGGUGAUUCAUAAUAACUUCUCGAAUCGCACGGCCUUGCGCCGGCGAUGGUUCAUUCAAAUUUCUGCCCUAUCAACUUUCGACGGCUGGGUCUUGGCCAGCCGUGGUGACAACGGGUAACGGAGGGUUAGGGCUCGACCCCGGAGAAGGAGCCUGAGAAACGGCUACUACAUCCAAGGAAGGCAGCAGGCGCGCAAAUUACCCAAUCCCGACACGGGGAGGUAGUGACAAUAAAUACUGAUACAGGGCUCUUUCGGGUCUUGUAAUCGGAAGAGUACAAUUUAAAUCCCUUAACGAGGAACAAU
rnacentral:rRNA from 1 species